rnacentral:rRNA from 1 species
AUUGAACGCUGGCGGCAUGCCUUACACAUGCAAGUCGAACGGCAGCACGGGAGCAAUCCUGGUGGCGAGUGGCGAACGGGUGAGUAAUAUAUCGGAACGUGCCCAGUCGUGGGGGAUAACGCAGCGAAAGCUGUGCUAAUACCGCAUACGAUCUCUGGAUGAAAGCGGGGGACUCGCAAGAGCCUCGCGCGAUUGGAGCGGCCGAUAUCAGAUUAGCUAGUUGGUGGGGUAAAAGCUCACCAAGGCGACGAUCUGUAGCUGGUCUGAGAGGACGACCAGCCACACUGGAACUGAGACACGGUCCAGACUCCUACGGGAGGCAGCAGUGGGGAAUUUUGGACAAUGGGCGAAAGCCUGAUCCAGCAAUGCCGCGUGCAGGAUGAAGGCCUUCGGUUGUAAACUGCUUUUGUACGGUAACGAAACGGACGUCACCCUAA